AUGUCUGGUGGGCAUUUCCUUGUCAAAUCCUUGAACCUCUCCCAUGCCUCGUAGAGAGUUUUCACCAUCUUGUUGUCUAAAAGUCUGAACCUCAGAUCGAAGCCU